GACGUAGGGCGCGAGCGUUGUCCGGAUUUAUUGGGCGUAAAGAGCUCGUAGGCGGCUCGUUGCGUCGGCUGUGAAAACCCGCAGCUCAACUGUGGGCUUGCAGCUGAUACGGGCGGGCUGGGAUUCGGUAGGGGAGACUGGAAUUCCUGGUGUAGCGGUGAAAUGCGCAGAUAUCAGGAGGAACACCGGUGGCGAAGGCGGGUCUCUGGGCCUUUCCUGACGCUGAGACGCGAAAGCGUGGGGAGCGAACCGG
rnacentral:rRNA from 1 species